rnacentral:rRNA from 1 species
CAAACCUGGUUGAUCCUGCCAGUUAGUCAUAUGCUUGUCUCAAAGACUAAGCCAUGCAUGUCUAAGUAUAAAUAACUACACAGUAAAACUGCGAAUGGCUCAUUAAAACAGUUAUAGUUUAUUUGAUAUAACAAAUGGAUAACUGUAGAAAACUAGAGCUAAUACAUGCCAUAACCGUAAGGUUGUAUUUAUUA